GAUGAACGCUGGCGGCGUGCCUAAUACAUGCAAGUCGAGCGAACGGACGAGAAGCUUGCUUCUCUGAUGUUAGCGGCGGACGGGUGAGUAACACGUGGAUAACCUACCUAUAAGACUGGGAUAAAUUCGGGAAGCCGGAGCUAAUACCGGAUGAUAUUUUGAACCGCAUGGUUCAAAAGUGAAAGACGGUCUUGCUGUCACUUAUAGAUGGAUCCGCGCUGCAUUAGCUAGUUGGUAAGGUAACGGCUUACCAAGGCAACGAUGCAUAGCCGACCUGAGAGGGUGAUCGGCCACACUGGAACUGAGACACGGUCCAGACUCCUACGGGAGGCAGCAGUAGGGAAUCUUCCGCAAUGGGCGAAAGCCUGACGGAGCAACGCCGCGUGAGUGAUGAAGGUCUUCGGAUCGUAAAACUCUGUUAUUAGGGAAGAACAUAUGUGUAAGUAACUGUGCACAUCUUGACGGUACCUAAUCAGAAAGCCACGGCUAACUACGUG
rnacentral:rRNA from 1 species